GGGGUUGUGGCUCAGUGGUAGAGUGUUCGUCUAGCACAUGUAAGGCCCUGGGUUUGAUCCUCAGCACUACA
rnacentral:tRNA from 1 species